GGGGCCUGCUUGGCUGACUGGGCAGGCACCUGUCUGCCUCAGGAGGAGAAUGGCCAUUCCACUCUGGGAAGCCCUGGAGGAGGACGGCUCUAGGUGCCCCCUCCUACGGCCUGCGGGGUCUGGCUCAGAGCCGUGGACCCACUGCGCUCUAUUAGCUCUCCGAAGGCAAACACAAGCCCGCGCGGCCCGCGGAAUCCGGAGGCAGUUUGCCGAAUGGCCACUGGCCACACAGGUCUGCAGCGGUUUCUCUGCCCUGGGAGCAGCAUCUCUUCCACUCGGACUGGCGUCUGCUUCUCUGGGAGGCCGUUGGUUUUCCCUCCCAGCUCCCCAGGCAGUGCCCUUUCUCCGAAUCCUCCCUCUUGCAGACAAGAACUCCACUUUGGAAACAAUAACGAGGGUUACCAUGGAGACAGGAGGAGUUUCCAUCCCCGGCCCUCCAGAUAAACUGUCAGGCGUUUUUGGCGGCCCCGCCUGGGUCCCAUGACUAGAGCACUUGGGAACAUUGAGAAGCUCGCGUUCUGCGAUCCAUCUCCGAAGCGGGUCAGAGCUGCGAGGUCCGGCCACUAAAGUCAGGGAGGGUCGGCACAGGAAUUUCACAAGCAAAGGCCGGCUUCCUCGCUUUGAAACUUUCGAAAGCUCUGUUCAGAUCCACGACCCAGCGCGCCUGAAGUGCUAAGUGAGUUAGGGGUAAUUCGAUACAAUAUUGAUCACUGUUGCUGGCAGUUUUCAGCCUUGAUCAAACGUGAAAAUGGUGUCUGUUAAUCAAGUUAGAAAAUAUUACUUUCUGGGAAAAUUGAGCUGAGCUGAAGAAGCAAGGUAGAGGGAAGAAAAAAACAUCUCAGACCCUCUGUUGGGGCGAAUCCACGUCUUUUCAACAGAAACAGGCCCGUCAGCCGUGGCUGUCAGUCAGUAAAUAUUCACUGAAUAAUGGAAACAGCAGCUCAAAAGAAAGCUCCUGUCUGAAGAGUGAGUGCUGAAUUCUCCUGCAGUUUACCUCUCCCGGGUGCUGUUGGAGGCCUUCACCCACAGCACAGCCAGGCGCCAUUUGCCCCAAAGGGUUCCACGGGGCAGAGCCGUAAAGAGGCUCAGGCCAACAGUUGUGGCACAUGGGAGGCCAUGGUCUGCGCCCACCCACAACCUCAGCUGGAGCACAUUAAUCACAGGGCCACCUGGACAGGCCUGGGUGUGGGGAGAGGUGCCGGAGGCUUUGGGUAAUGGGGUCUGGUGGCUUGGGGUCUCCCACCUGUGGAGGCGACCAUGGGUGGGAGCAAAACGUGCAGAAUGGCCAUUUGGCCCAAGCCAAACCUCCAUUUGAAGCUUCGCACUGUCACAGAGCUGGCAGGACUGGGAGACGAAGGCGCGCACAGUCGUCUUAAACGCGGCCCCACCGGCAGGCCACGUAAGGAUUAGUCGUUUUUCUGAGUGCUGCAAUUAUCUGGGAAGGUGCAAAUUCUGUCCAGGAGUGUGCUGCUCAGCCACUCUCCAGGAUGAAGGGGUGGAGAUCCCCCGGUUGGUGGCCUUUACCAGUUUCCACGGUGUAAACACCCCACUAAGGCUAGCUGCGGGCCGUCAGCGGUUUAGGAACCAGCUCGCGAAUUUUCUAAACAUUUAACAGUCGGCUCUCAUGAGCCUCUUCCAGCUGGCGUCGUCUCACUUUCUGCACGUAAAUGAGUGUUUAUUAAAAGUGAGCAGAUGAACCGUACCACCGUUUUGUAAACCCCAGGAGCCUCAAAAGAUUGAGAGGGUGCGAAGAGUCUGUCUCGACCUCGGAAAUUACACUUGUAUAAACCGCUCUGCUCCGCUCUGUUUGAGCUGUUUCUAAACCUGGGAAGGGUUUUUCUCCAAUCUCCAUCCGCCGUGGUCCUCUCCAUCCUUCCCUCCUUCCACCUUUAUUAUUUCACUGCUAUGCCCCCCAGAGCCACGAUGGAAUGUCCCGUCCCCAUCUCUCAUGGUAAGCGGUCCCGUCACUCCUCUCCCAUAGCACGCAGACUUACCCUAGAAAUUACUCACUCAUUCACUCGAGAAAUAUCCCCUGGGAAUUUAUUAUCUCCAAGGUACAUUCUAGGUGCCAGAAUAAUAAUAAAGCUAUCUUGUCUUAAGUAAACAUUUGGGAGGUCACAAUAGUAAUACAUGUUCACAGCAGAGCAUUUGGAAAAUGCAAAACAGGAUACAAAAUAAUUUUGUAACCUGCAAUUCCAUUAUCCAGAGAUAACAACUGUUAAUAUUUUGAUGUAUUUCUAGCCAGUUAUUUUUCCUUGUACAAAAUGCAUGUUUAAAAACCCUAUCAUAGCCAUUUAAUAAUACAUUAGGGGCCUUUCUAUGUCAUCAAACAUUUUUCUGUACAAUAUAAUUUUAAUAACUGUAUAAUAUUCCAUUGUGUGACUGUGCCAUGAUCUGUUUGCUCAAUUUCCUUUGUUAAACACUUAGAUAAUACUCACCAUUUCACUACUCUGAACCGUGCUGCAAUAAAAACUCUCAUAAUUAGUGUUUGCACAAGCCUAUGGUUAAUUACCUAGGACAAAUACUAUUUUCCAGUUCAUUUAUGGUAUUCUUUUUGGCCCAAGAGUUAUUUAGGAGAAAAUUUUUAAGUUUAAUCUGUUGUGUUUUAUUUUAUGCAUAACUCCUAUAUUUUUAGUAUACUUCUUAUUGCUUAACAUACCUGCAAAAAUAUAUCAAAUCAUAAAUGUCAGCUCAGUGAAUUCUACUAGGUAAACACACCCACAUAACCAGCAUGCAGAUAUCGGAACGGAAUGUUGCCACCACCUCAGAAACCCCCUUGUGCCCCGAUGCAGACAUGCCCUUCACUCUCCCAUCCAGGGAGAACCGUUAUCAUGGCUUCUAACACCAUAGAUGAGCUUGCUUGUUUUUGAAUUUUAGAUAAAUGGAAUCCUAAAAUGCAAAUUCUUUCGUGUCUACAAG
ensembl:lncRNA